AUUUUCAAACUCCAAUUUCUAUCUGUAGUAGAUACUUCAUUCUCAUUAAUUCGAGGUAGCUUAGUCACUUUCAAUUUAAAACUGUCUCUUAACUCUCCUCCUUUCACCUCUCUUCACAGAAUAAAGUUCCUGAGAGAUUUGUAUUGUGCCUGUGGGAGAACAAGGAUCUGUGUUUCAGUGCUGACCCCACUCAUCUUUGAUUGCAACUGGAGUGGAAUUCUGACUACCUCGAUUUGGGUAUUUGCCUCUCUCUACCGCCCUCCCAUAAAUGCCCUCGGCUAGCAAGCACAAUCUGUUGCCUUAACCUGGGUGGUCCACCUGGCAAAUCCUGCUACAUAGUCCCAUAACACUAGUCUUGAAUCCCCUAGCAGAUCUUAAUCUUUAGCCAGAAAGAGUUGGGGGGGAGAAUGGACUAGCUCAUGUUCACUUUAUCCAAAUGUACCAACUUUUGUUGGUGCUAGAUUCUACUGGUCAGCUAUUAUUGUAUAACAUAUUACCCCCAACACUUCAUUGUUUAACACAAGAAACAUGUGUUGCCUUUGUUUCAGUCAGUGAGGAAUUCAGAAGCAACUUAGCAGGGUAGUUCUAGCUCAGAUCUCUCUUCUGACCUAAGCUCAGAAGUCUGCCACCACUUCUGACCUAUUCCAUUGGUCACACUGAUACAAUAUUAAAGGGGACCACAAAAGCAUGUCAGUACCGGAGGAGAUCACUGGGAGACCUCUAAGAGACCAACUCUCACAUCAGUAUCCAUCAAGCUUCCUUUGUCCCAGAAUUCCACAUGGAAUGCAGGGCAAAAGUCAUUCUUCUUUCUAAUCCCAAAACCCAUGGAGAUGGUACAGGAUCCAAAAUGUAUUGUUUGGGUUCUAAUUCUGUUUAAUCAGUUCUUGUUUUUGCAGUACUGGAAACUGAACCCAGGAUACUCUAACACUAACCUGCACUCCCAGCCCUUAUUCUUUUAUUUUGAGAUGGGGUCUCGCUAAGUUGCUGAGUCUGGCCUCAAACUUGCAAUUCUCUGCCUCAGCCUCCCAAGUCACAG
rnacentral:lncRNA from 1 species